AUCUAUUUCCCUCCUGACUCCGUAUUGAACAUGUAUACCUUUAAUUGUAGCAACAAAUGAUUGAUUAGCACUACGUGCUUUCUGUCCUCGAUCCGUCUGCUUACCUUUUGGGGCUGUAUAGUGCCUACCCUCUCUGUGGCCAGUGAGAUGAAUCACCAAGGAGAUUGAGAUCCUUUAUAUAUACAUUAACAUACGUCCCUGAGGAAGCCCGAAUGGGCGAAACGUGUUGGACAGUCUACUGUAUAUAAUAUCUCAACAAUCAAUUAUUG